GACGAACGCUGGCGGCGUGCCUAAUACAUGCAAGUAGAACGCUGAAGGAGGAGCUUGCUCUUCUGGAUGAGUUGCGAACGGGUGAGUAACGCGUAGGUAACCUGCCUGGUAGCGGGGGAUAACUAUUGGAAACGAUAGCUAAUACCGCAUAAGAGUAGAUGUUGCAUGACAUUUGCUUAAAAGGUGCAAUUGCAUCACUACCAGAUGGACCUGCGUUGUAUUAGCUAGUUGGUGGGGUAACGGCUCACCAAGGCGACGAUACAUAGCCGACCUGAGAGGGUGAUCGGCCACACUGGGACUGAGACACGGCCCAGACUCAUACGGGAGGCAGCAGUAGGGAAUCUUCGGCAAUGGACGGAAGUCUGAGCGCGCAACGCCGCGUGAGUGAAGAAGGUUUUCGGAUCGUAAAGCUCUGUUGUAAGAGAAGAACGAGUGUGAGAGUGGAAAGUUCACACUGUGACGGUAUCUUACCAGAAAGGGACGGCUAACUACGUG
rnacentral:rRNA from 1 species